UACGUAGGGUGCAAGCGUUGUCCGGAAUUAUUGGGCGUAAAGCGCGUGUAGGCGGCUCGAUAAGUCUGCUGUGAAAGUCCAGGGCUCAACCCUGGAAUGCCGGUGGAAACUGUCGAGCUAGAGUCCGGAAGAGGCGAGUGGAAUUCCUGGUGUAGCGGUGAAAUGCGCAGAUAUCAGGAGGAACACCAAUGGCGAAGGCAGCUCGCUGGGACGGUACUGACGCUGAGACGCGAAAGCGUGGGGAGCAAACAGG
rnacentral:rRNA from 1 species